CAAAGGCCUUGGUAAGAUUGUUAGAAACCGUUUAUUACAUGAUGGUCUGGUUGCUAUCGUUGGCCAUCCUGGAGGAAGCGAAAUGAAAGAGGAAACAUGCGUUGUUGUCAGCAACCACUCUUGGCGUGAGAUCUUCAAGCAAAGGGAUGAGAAAUUUAAGCGAAUAAACUCGGUGUUUCGGCAAAGGCAAAAUGCAAAUUUACAAAUUUCUCCUGGCGUUCACAUGACCAAUGACGAUUUACUACGGGAGUAUAUCAACAAACGUCAGAAACAAGGAUGUCUUCCAUACGACACAACUCUAUUUUCUGGUUCUAGCGGUUCUCCUGUUUUUGAUCUGAAUGGGAAUAUCGUUGCAAUGCACACGCAGGGUUAUCCACUAGAAGUCGAGAGAGGAACAUAUUCCUUGAUGGAAUUUGGCG